rnacentral:rRNA from 1 species
AAAUUUUUAUAUAAUUAUAGGUUAAAUUUUAAUUAUUUAAAAUGUGUAGUUAUAAUUUUAAAUUUUGUUAAUCGAAUUAGAUUAGUACCUAAUUAGUCAAAAGUUAAAAAAGCAGAAGUAAAGUAAAAUUUAAACUGAAAGAAUAUUGGCAGAUUUUCUAAAUUAUCUUUGGAGGUUGAGUAAUAAUUGAGAACCCUCAUUAACUACUUUUUUAGUAGUCUCAUGUAUGAUCGUUUAUUAUAUGCUUAAGGGAUAUAAUUAAAAAUUUUUAUUUAAAAAAAUAGAUAUAUAUUUGGUUUAUAUAAAAGUAAUAUUUGACCUACAGUAAUUUGUAAUUGUGGAUCUAUUUUUUAGUAAAGUAGUGAAAAUGUAAAAGACAGUAAAAAAAUUUUUAUGAUUUUUUGAAGAUUAUUU